AUUGUGCAAACUGGCCCCUUUCCCAGCGUAUCACUCUCCCAUUGAACGAGGUCAAGCGCCGCCGCGGUCCUUCCGCAGCCCUGAUGGGUUUUCAGGAGCUGGUGAAUGGCGUGCAAAUUAGCCAAGUCCUCGGGAGCCUCGUUACUGUCACUCCCAAACCGAAGCUCCAGAGGCAACCCCGGAGGCGUCUCCAGCAGAAGACUCCUGCCCACGCCUGCCCUGCUCGCUCAACACCAUAAAAGCCAUGGAGCCUCUGCCUGCUGAGAACUGGAUUCAGGUCAGCUGUAAUCCCAGCUCUACCAAUAAGGCUUUCUCAGGAACCCAACUAGCUAGCGUCUACAUCGCACCAGGUUGAGCCCUUUUCAAGCCUGACUCCACCCCACUGGAUGUUCACUAAUGCUCUCUCCAUUUUACAUCUGAGAUGGAAGACGCAUCUACUUAGAUUGACAGCUUGACUCUGACACUCACCGUUGAUUGCAGAACACCUGGCGGGUGGCAGCCCUGAACCCACCCAGUGAGCAAGCAAACUCCAGUGAGUGGCUAUCACAUAUACAUCCAAUGAGGAACUGGAAAAAUUAUGCAUUAAGGAAUUUGUAAUAAUCUCUCAAAUGAACAGACAGGCAAAUAUCCAGUGACUCUAUAAAUAUAAAUCUAAUGAAUUCAUAGCUAGUGAAUGAAUCAGCAAAUUUAUCUACUAAUUAAAGAUGAGCAAGUGGAUAAAUAUUUAAAGAGUGACAAUAAUUUGUGUUAUUAACCAACAUGCAAAUAUCAAUAAACAAAUAUCUAUGUAAGUGUAUACACAACCCAUAAAUAAAUGUUAAAUGAAUAAAUAAACAAAUGAAAA